GCCGGUGUAGCUCAGUGGUAGAGCGGACGUUUCAUAAGCGUUAGGUCGCAGGUUCAAUUCCUGCCACCGGCACCA
rnacentral:tRNA from 1 species